UACAGAGGGUGCGAGCGUAAUCGGAAUUACUGGGCGUAAAGCGCGCGUAGGCGGCUUUGCAAGUCGGGUGUGAAAUCCCCAGGCUUAACCUGGGAACUGCAUUCGAGACUGCAUUGCUAGAGUAUGGGAGAGGGAAGUGGAAUUUCCGGUGUAGCGGUGAAAUGCGUAGAUAUCGGAAGGAACAUCAGUGGCGAAAGCGACUUCCUGGACCAAUACUGACGCUCAUGUGCGAAAGCGUGGGGAGCAAACAGGG
rnacentral:rRNA from 1 species